CCCGCUGAACUUAAGCAUAUCAAUAAGCGGAGGAAAAGAAACCAACAGGGAUUGCCCCAGUAGCGGCGAGCGAAGCGGCAAGAGCUCAGAUUUGAAAUCUGGCCGCCCCCGGCGGUCCGAGUUGUAAUCUGCAGGCGGGUUCUCUGGCGAGCGCGCACCACCUAAGUCUCCCUGGAACGGGGCGCCAUAGAGGGUGAGAGCCCCGUGAGGAGGGGCGCGCGAGCCUGUGUGAGGCCUGUCCGACGAGUCGAGUAGUUUGGGAAUGCUGCUCUAAAUGGGAGGUAUAUUCCUUCUAAAGCUAAAUACCGGCCAGAGACCGAUAGCGCACAAGUAGAGUGAUCGAAAGGUGAAAAGCACUUUGAAAAGAGGGUUAAAAAGUACGUGAAAUUGUUGAAAGGGAAGCGCCUAUGACCAGACUUGGGCCCGGUGAAUCAUCCAGCGUUCUCGCUGGUGCACUUUGCCGGGCACAGGCCAGCAUCAGUUUGGCGCGGGGGAUAAAGGCUUUGGGAAUGUGGCUCCCUCGGGAGUGUUAUAACCCAUUGCGCAAUACCCUGCGCCGGACUGAGGUACGCGCAUCGCAAGGAUGCUGGCGUAAUGGUCAUCAGCGACCCGUCUUGAAACACGG
rnacentral:rRNA from 1 species